rnacentral:rRNA from 1 species
UACGUAGGGGGCAAGCGUUGUCCGGAAUCAUUGGGCGUAAAGAGCGUGUAGGCGGCCAGAAAAGUCCGCUGUGAAAACUCGAGGCUCAACUUCGAGCUGUCGGUGGAAACUUUCUGGCUAGAGUCCGGAAGAGGAGAAUGGAAUUCCUGGUGUAGCGGUGAAAUGCGCAGAUAUCAGGAAGAACACCCGUGGCGAAGGCGGGUCUCUGGGCCGUAACUGACGCUGAGGAGCGAAAGCAUGGGGAGCGAACAGG